UACGUAGGGGGCAAGCGUUGUCCGGAAUCAUUGGGCGUAAAGAGCGCGUAGGCGGCCCAGUAAGUCCGCUCUGAAAGUCAGGGGCUCAACCCCUGAAUGCGGGUGGAUACUGCUGGGCUAGAGUCCGGAAGAGGCGAGUGGAAUUCCUGGUGUAGCGGUGAAAUGCGCAGAUAUCAGGAGGAACACCGAUGGCGAAGGCAGCUCGCUGGGACGGUACUGACGCUGAGGUGCGAAAGCGUGGGGAGCAAACAGG
rnacentral:rRNA from 1 species